UGGUGUUUCAUUUCCGGGACCUUUUCUUUUGUGCGGUCGACUAUUACGUUCAUGUAUGCGUACUGGUCUGUGUGAAUGCUGACUGGUGUAUAGUAUCGACGCUUUCAUAAGGGGAUUUUCUUUAGUUAGUCUCUAGUUUCUUGAAGUAAUACUUUGAACAUGUUUUCGAAGCUGAAAUGUGAAUAGAAGAUGAUUAAUAUUCGAGACUUUUCGUACUAUGAAAUUUUAAUCUAGUAUUUCUAUAUGCGUCCAGCUUGAGCCGAAGUGAAAACUAACAUAGAUUUGGUGAAUCUAAUAAGUAAGUAAUUGAAUGAAGAUUGUUUUUAGACCCUUUCUUGAAAUUAUUCGUAGCACUAUUAUAUGUCUUAUUAGGGCGAAUGAUCUAAAUCUCUCACUCUCUGCUGUGCAGUAUGUAAUAAUUACACUUCUUUUAAGUAGUCGUGGUCUAUAGAUUACUCCCGUAAGUCUGAAGUAUACAUGUGUGCCUAUAUUUUUUCAUUAGCAGUCAUGAAUGCCACGUCAAAUAAACGGAAGUAUUCAAGGGAAUAAACAAAAUCACUUCAUAAGUGCGAAUGUUUUAUUUAUUUUUCAAAACAUUAUGUUUUUCAGCCAAGGCUAAUGAUAUCUUUCCAAAAAAAUUGCAGGUCAAAAUGCGAUCCCCGUUUGGUCUUCAAAUUCAGCAUGCCAUCUGGCAAAAUCAUCUAAAUAGGGUCCCCUUAAUUUGAAAUGUUCCGGACAAGGUCUCCGAUCUUAUAAUGCCCAACUCGCGCACGUGGAACUUGGAGCUUCUCGAUACUACGUUCUGGCCGGAACAGAAUUCUCACGACUCCCAUCGGCAGCACUCACGCCCAAGGACCGACUGGUGUGGCGGCACUAUUUCCGUUCCGGCGAUUUCACGGUCAAGUCUUGCUACCACAACAUCAUGCACCGCCACGUAACUGACUGUGGAAAUCAAGAUUCAGGGAAUUCCUCAGCGAAGACAAAAGAGUUUUGGAAGUUUCUUUGGCAUCUGCAUAUUCCACCGAAAAUCAAGAUCUUUAUCUGCCGGGCUGCGGUGGGAUAUUAUCCCGACUAAUGUUGCUCCAUUCCGAAGGCACAUCUCUUGUAAUCCGUUUCGUUCUUCAGAUUUAUGAAUGAAAUCGUCUUUUAUAA